ACCAACAUUUGCUGAUUAGAUUUUUUUUCAUAAAACAGCGGCUGGAAUAAGAAAAUUACUUUCUAGUAGUUGUCGAUUGUGGAGGUGAAAACACAUCUGUUUGGAUCGAAAUUUCUUAAAGCUUGUUUUGUGAUAUAUAUUAAGAGUUCAAAGAAAAUAAAAUAUCAUAAAUUUUAUAGUCUUGCAAGUGAUACACAAAACGUUUUGCAUGUGCUUCCGAAUUUACAUUAUUUUUGAACUAGCUGCAGUCUGGAUCACCUUACACAACCCAACAAUGCAGACCAAAAUGUAAACGAUGUUCAGGGGACGGGAGAAUCCAUUGAAAAGAAGUUUUUUAAUUUAACGCUCUUAAAAGUGAUAAUAAAUUCGGUUUUGGCGCUCAAUGGCUUCGAAAUGAACUUAAAAUAAUGAGAUGAUAUCAGGAAUGAGUUAUUAGAUCGGUAAUGAUAGCAAAUAUGUUAUAGUUUAAACAGACGCCAAUCAACCAUCUUCGAAGUUUGCAGUAUAAAACGACUGAAAACCCUCUAUUCAACUACAACUAUGUAACAAGCAAACUGAACAAAAAAUUCUACACUUUGUACUUAAAAUCUACAAAACAUCGAUAUUGUGCAAACAUACAUUACAAUAAAACAAUAAAAAAAUACUGGAACUGCUUUUCGUUUGUCAAUAAACGGUUUCUUCCAUAGUCUUGUUCUACCUAUGUUUUUACAUAAGCGAGCGAGGCAUGCUUAAAAUUCAAUAGAAUUCCAAUGAACAUAUGUAAUAAACACAAAACAUUUAAAUAAAUAAUUGAAAGGGGAACGAAUAAAACAACUAGGGAAAAUAAGCUUUGUGGCAACAUACCUUAUGCUCACAGCCACGUAUAUUUUAUAUAUGUCGCGUACGAUAAAAAGGAAAAAUAAAGCGAAUUAGUACUUUCAUCAU